rnacentral:rRNA from 1 species
CCUACGGGAUGCAGCAGUGAGGAAUAUUGGUCAAUGGACGAGAGUCUGAACCAGCCAAGUAGCGUGAAGGAUGACUGCCCUAUGGGUUGUAAACUUCUUUUAUAUGGGAAUAAAACGUUCCACGUGUGGGAUUUUGUAUGUACCAUUUGAAUAAGGAACGGCUAACUACGUGCCAGCAGCCGCGGUAAUACGGAGGAUCCGAGCGUUAUCCGGAUUUAUUGGGUUUAAAGGGAGCGUAGGUGGAUUGUUAAGUCAGUUGUGAAAGUUUGCGGCUCAACCGUAAAAUUGCAGUUGAAACUGGCAGUCUUGAGUACAGUAGAGGUGGGCGGAAUUCGUGGUGUAGCGGUGAAAUGCUUAGAUAUCACGAAGAACUCCGAUUGCGAAGGCAGUUCACUGGACUGCAACUGACACUGAGGCUCGAAAGUGUGGGUAUCAAACAGGAUUAGAUAUCCGAGUAGUC